GCGAGAGCCUGUGCUUUCACGGUUUGUGAGAGAGCAAGCGCGCCAUCCUUGUGUUGUGUGUGGUGUUGUGCACUCUGUGCGAGUGCACAUGCAUUUUUCAACAACUCUAUUCAUUUCUUCUGAAAAUCUUUUGCUCACACGAGCACAAACAACCGA
rnacentral:misc_RNA from 1 species